rnacentral:rRNA from 1 species
GACGAACGCUGGCGGCGUGCUUAACACAUGCAAGUCGAACGCUGAAGGCCCAGCUUGCUGGGUUGGAUGAGUGGCGAACGGGUGAGUAACACGUGAGUAACCUGCCCUCUUCUUUGGGAUAACGGUCGGAAACGGCUGCUAAUACCGGGUAUUCACUGUCCUUCGCAUGGGGGGUGGUGGAAAGGUUUUUUCUGGUGGGGGAUGGGCUCGCGGCCUAUCAGCUUGUUGGUGGGGUGAUGGCUUACCAAGGCUUUGACGGGUAACCGGCCUGAGAGGGUGACCGGUCACAUUGGGACUGAGAUACGGCCCAGACUCCUACGGGAGGCAGCAGUGGGGAAUAUUGCACAAUGGGCGAAAGCCUGAUGCAGCGACGCCGCGUGAGGGAUGGAGGCCUUCGGGUUGUAAACCUCUUUCGCUCAUGGUCAAGCCGCAACUGUGGUUGUGGUGAGGGUAGUGGGUAAAGAAGCACCGGCUAACUACGUGCCAGCAGCCGCGGUAAUACGUAGGGUGCGAGCGUUGUCCGGAAUUAUUGGGCGUAAAGGGCUUGUAGGCGGCUUGUCGCGUCUGCCGUGAAAUCCUCUGGCUUAACUGGGGGCGUGCGGUGGGUACGGGCAGGCUUGAGUGCGGUAGGGGAGACUGGAACUCCUGGUGUAGCGGUGGAAUGCGCAGAUAUCAGGAAGAACACCGGUGGCGAAGGCGGGUCUCUGGGCCGUUACUGACGCUGAGGAGCGAAAGCGUGGGGAGCGAACAGG